GAGAGCCAAUAUUCCAAUAAAUCGUCUAAUAAAGAUCUUAUUGAAUUAAAAACCCCCAUUACUGAGUACAAAUACACUUUUUCCAUUUUUUUUCAUUCGCCUGGUAAACGAUGACUACCAAUAAGUUUAGUAAAAGCGAAUUUUGGUUUCUUACUGCAGCUAUUUUAGUUGUUGUGAAUGGAGAAGAUGAUAUUGCAAGGAAUAAAUUAACGUUCCAGAGCACAACAACUUAUCCAAAUAUUGCAAGUUUGGCUACUGAUAGUACAAUUGAAAUUAAUGAUCCUAUUAAAUGCUCGAAAACGAACCAAAUUCUAGAGAAAGCCUGGUGGACAGUUGAUCUGGAGAAGGUGUAUAGUGUUGAAAAAGUUUGCAUUUUGAAUGGAAAUAUACCGGAUGCUGCGAACCUCACUAAUUUCGUCAUUAAAGUAUCAAAUUUUCCGAUGGAAGGCGAAAUAUGCGCAACUGUAUCUUCGUCAAUAAAAAUACCAAUGUCAACAACUGCAAACGAUUACGAGUGUUUUGGGUGUAGUCCCGCAAUAGUUGGGUCUUUUGUGUAUAUUGAACACCAACAGAAUGGGGCUGAUUUGCAGUUGUGCGACGUUAAAGUGUCUGGUACAUUUGUAAAAGAUAGAGAUUAUUCUGCAUUAAAAAUGACAUCGAAUGAUCUGUACGGUGUAGCAUUUUCCAGUGCGCAGAGACAUUUCAAUAAGGCGAUUGAUAACGAUUACAGUACUUAUUAUCAAGCGGAAAUAUCCGUUAAUAAACCAUAUAUUAUGGUUCGUCUACCAACUCUAACUCAAAUUGUUGCAGUUUUGUUAAUUCCCGGCUUAAAUGAAUUAACUUCAAAGAGUCUUCAAAGAACCUUUGUUAAUAUUAAACAUAUUCCAGACACAUUCACACAUAUGACUUAUAAGAUGUGUUUCCACAACAACUUUCUAAGUGAUAAAGGAUUAUACGAGGCUGUUUUCAAAAAGUGCAAUAUCGAUUUAUCCGGUAGAUAUAUCUAUAUAGGAUCAAAGCCUUCGGCCAAUUCAAUUUUUGAACUAACUGAGCUUGUUAUCUAUGGAAAAGAAAGAGAAAAAACGUUUACAUAUUCUCAGGGAUUAUCUCGUAAAGAAAAUAUUCAAUCAAUUCUUAUCAAUGGAACAAAUUUAGAUAGUGCUACAAUACCAAUUUGAUUAUUGCUUUCAACUCAUCACUCUUAAACCACGUUUGUCUGACAAUGAAACAUAAGAAUAUUAAAUGGAUACAAAAUCCUUAUAUAACUCUUGAGGAUUUGUUAACUGGUAAUACAACUACACACCAAUUUUUCUACAGUUUUAAAUCAAUCAAUACUGUUUGUCAACAAUUUUCAAUAUCUUUACUGGAAAAAGUUGUAUUAGAAUUUACAGAUUUUCAUGAAAUUUCCGAAAUUGACCUUCAUGGACUUACAUUGAUGACUUACGAUUGUAGUUAUAUAAUAAGAUAUAAUAUUCAUAUUUCUUUUGAGAAAUACUAGAUAAUUUGUGUUCAUUUUCUGUUUUUUAAGAUUCCGAUACCUGUUCCUUAUCGCAACGAGAAAUUAGCUUGACAAAGUCUUCUGGAUGGACUGCCAACAUUCCUCACGUUGUUGAAAUUAUCGGCGAUGAAUUGAACAAGAACAUGCUAGUAACAACGCGUGUUGCCUCCGCUAGCGGGUUAUCAAGACAACUGUGCAGCUAUAGAAGCUCAUUUUUUCCAAUAGGAAAAUCAAUUUUCGUAUGUAAUUCAUUUGAAGAGAAACUUAUUGUUCAUCCUUUUGAAAAUAUUGCUAAUAUCAAAAAAAUUAGUUUUUAUAAAUAAACACAAAACACGCAUUCAGC
rnacentral:misc_RNA from 1 species